CCACAAAAUGUUAGUAUUGCAGGUGU
rnacentral:piRNA from 1 species